rnacentral:tRNA from 1 species
CCUUCGAAAGCUCAGUUGGUAAAGCGGAAGACUGUAGGUUGAUAAAUGUAUGCAUUUUUAUGUCGCUGGUUCUAUUCCAACUCAAAGAA